UAAGGCUCUUUUGGGACUUUGUGAUACAGUUUUGUAAGUAUCGUGCUACUUAUACAAACGAUGAUUGAAACAGUUUUGCUUCGAAAGUUCCUAAUGAAUGCAAAUCAAAAAAGCACCUCGAUUUGUUGUUAUAAUGAAAACAAUCCUAAUGAUAUAAUGCAGAUUGCAAUAUAAAAACACACAUUGGAAUACAAUUGUUAUAUUUUAAAGAUAUAUAUAAAUGAUACUUGCAGACAAAUCACACAAUGAGUAUUUAAAUCCCUCACGACUUUUCACAAGCUUUAACGAUACAACACUACGAUAUAUCCUACACUACCAAAGCAUUACUAGUUUUAUUUUUCAGAGUGUUGAAAGGCAGAAGAACAAUUACUUCAAUACAAAAUGGAGCGUUUGAAAACCUACCGGGAUUACAAUCUCUAGUAUUAUCUAGCCAAAAAAUAACUACAAUACACAAAAGAGCAUUCACAAACCUACCAGCGCUCAUUUCUAUACAUUUACAAGGCAAUCAAAUAACUAAAAUCGAACAAGGAACGUUUGAAGACCUUCCAGCUCUCAA